rnacentral:rRNA from 1 species
UGGGGAAUAUUGCGCAAUGGGCGAAAGCCUGACGCAGCGACGCCGCGUGAGGGAUGAAGGUCUUCGGAUCGUAAACCUCUGUCAGCAGGGAAGAACGGUCACUGUGCUAAUCAGCAGUGAAUUGACGGUACCUGCAAAUGAAGCACCGGCUAACUCCGUGCC